rnacentral:rRNA from 1 species
CAGUACCGUGAGGGAAAGGCGAAAAGAACCCCGGCGAGGGGAGUGAAAAAGAACCUGAAACCGUGUACGUACAAGCAGUGGGAGCCUCUUUAUGGGGUGACUGCGUACCUUUUGUAUAAUGGGUCAGCGACUUAUAUUCUGUAGCAAGGUUAACCGAAUAGGGGAGCCGAAGGGAAACCGAGUCUUAACUGGGCGUUAAGUUGCAGGGUAUAGACCCGAAACCCGGUGAUCUAGCCAUGGGCAGGUUGAAGGUUGGGUAACACUAACUGGAGGACCGAACCGACUAAUGUUGAAAAAUUAGCGGAUGACUUGUGGCUGGGGGUGAAAGGCCAAUCAAACCGGGAGAUAGCUGGUUCUCCCCGAAAGCUAUUUAGGUAGCGCCUCGUGAAUUCAUCUCCGGGGGUAGAGCACUGUUUCGGCAAGGGGGUCAUCCCGACUUACCAACCCGAUGCAAACUGCGAAUACCGGAGAAUGUUAUCACGGGAGACACACGGCGGGUGCUAACGUCCGUCGUGAAGAGGGAAACAACCCAGACCGCCAGCUAAGGUCCCAAAGUCAUGGUUAAGUGGGAAACGAUGUGGGAAGGCCCAGACAGCCAGGAUGUUGGCUUAGAAGCAGCCAUCAUUUAAAGAAAGCGUAAUAGCUCACUGGUCGAGUCGGCCUGCGCGGAAGAUGUAACGGGGCUAAACCAUGCACCGAAGCUGCGGCAGCGACACUAUGUGUUGUUGGGUAGGGGAGCGUUCUGUAAGCCUGUGAAGGUGUACUGUGAGGUAUGCUGGAGGUAUCAGAAGUGCGAAUGCUGACAUAAGUAACGAUAAAGCGGGUGAAAAGCCCGCUCGCCGGAAGACCAAGGGUUCCUGUCCAACGUUAAUCGGGGCAGGGUGAGUCGACCCCUAAGGCGAGGCCGAAAGGCGUAGUCGAUGGGAAACAGGUUAAUCUUCCUGUACUUGGUGUUACUGCGAAGGGGGGACGGAGAAGGCUAUGUUGGCCGGGCGACGGUUGUCCCGGUUUAAGCGUGUAGGCUGGUUUUCCAGGCAAAUCCGGAAAAUCAAGGCUGAGGCGUGAUGACGAGGCACUACGGUGCUGAAGCAACAAAUGCCCUGCUUCCAGGAAAAGCCUCUAAGCAUCAGGUAACAUCAAAUCGUACCCCAAACCGACACAGGUGGUCAGGUAGAGAAUACCAAGGCGCUUGAGAGAACUCGGGUGAAGGAACUAGGCAAAAUGGUGCCGUAACUUCGGGAGAAGGCACGCUGAUAUGUAGGUGAAGCGACUUGCUCGUGGAGCUGAAAUCAGUCGAAGAUACCAGCUGGCUGCAACUGUUUAUUAAAAACACAGCACUGUGCAAACACGAAAGUGGACGUAUACGGUGUGACGCCUGCCCGGUGCCGGAAGGUUAAUUGAUGGGGUUAGCGGUAACGCGAAGCUCUUGAUCGAAGCCCCGGUAAACGGCGGCCGUAACUAUAACGGUCCUAAGGUAGCGAAAUUCCUUGUCGGGUAAGUUCCGACCUGCACGAAUGGCGUAAUGAUGGCCAGGCUGUCUCCACCCGAGACUCAGUGAAAUUGAACUCGCUGUGAAGAUGCAGUGUACCCGCGGCAAGACGGAAAGACCCCGUGAACCUUUACUAUAGCUUGACACUGAACAUUGAGCCUUGAUGUGUAGGAUAGGUGGGAGGCUUUGAAGUGUGGACGCCAGUCUGCAUGGAGCCGGCCUUGAAAUACCACCCUUUAAUGUUUGAUGUUCUAACGUUGGCCCCUGAUCGGGGUUGCGGACAGUGUCUGGUGGGUAGUUUGACUGGGGCGGUCUCCUCCUAAAGAGUAACGGAGGAGCACGAAGGUUGGCUAAUCCUGGUCGGACAUCAGGAGGUUAGUGCAAUGGCAUAAGCCAGCUUGACUGCGAGCGUGACGGCGCGAGCAGGUGCGAAAGCAGGUCAUAGUGAUCCGGUGGUUCUGAAUGGAAGGGCCAUCGCUCAACGGAUAAAAGGUACUCUGGGGAUAACAGGCUGAUACCGCCCAAGAGUUCAUAUCGACGGCGGUGUUUGGCACCUCGAUGUCGGCUCAUCACAUCCUGGGGCUGAAGUAGGUCCCAAGGGUAUGGCUGUUCGCCAUUUAAAGUGGUACGCGAGCUGGGUUUAGAACGUCGUGAGACAGUUCGGUCCCUAUCUGCCGUGGGCGCUGGAGAACUGAGGGGGGCUGCUCCUAGUACGAGAGGACCGGAGUGGACGCAUCACUGGUGUUCGGGUUGUCAUGCCAAUGGCACUGCCCGGUAGCUAAAUGCGGAAGAGAUAAGUGCUGAAAGCAUCUAAGCACGAAACUUGCCCCGAGAUGAGUUCU